GCGCGGGUGGUGGAAUUGGUAGACACGCAGGUCUCAGAAGCCUGUGUCGAAAGAUGUAGGGGUUCAAGUCCCCUCUCGCGCACCA
rnacentral:tRNA from 2 species